UACGUAGGGGGCUAGCGUUGUCCGGAAUCAUUGGGCGUAAAGCGCGUGUAGGCGGUCCGGUAAGUCCGCUGUGAAAGUCGGGGGCUCAACCCUCGGAUGCCGGUGGAUACUGUCGGGCUUGAGUACGGAAGAGGCGAGUGGAAUUCCUGGUGUGGCGGUGAAAUGCGCAGAUAUCAGGAGGAACACCAAUUGCGAAGGCAGCUCGCUGGGACGUUACUGACGCUGAGACGCGAAAGCGUGGGGAGCAAACAGG
rnacentral:rRNA from 1 species